UAGUAAUAAUACAACAUUUCCCAUACAUUUUUUAUCCAUUCAUUGACAUCAACCAAAAUAGGCAGGGGAGAGCACUCGGUACAAAACCAUACAGAAAUUGAAGAAGCAACAUGGUAUUUCCUGAUACAGAGUUGGACGGAUGCUCUGGGAUUUUUAGAACUGAUGAGGAAAUCACAUUUAGAAUCAACUCGGAUUUUUAAAGGAGUUUCAAACUGUAAUAAGAAAGUUCAACAUAGCUCUCAGAUAGCCACUCUGUAGAUCAAAAAAACAUAAAGCAUCUUAAGUUACCAAACGAUAACAUUGGAAGGUUACGGUUUGACCUAUCUCAAAUGUAGAGGUGACAUUAAAUGGCCACAACUUUCAGUCGCUAGUUGGAAGCAAAGUCAUCUCAUCAGUGACUAAUCGGUUAGCAGAACUUCUGAAGAGAAAUGGAAGCAGAGUCACUAGCGCCUUCGCGCACCCCACAGUGAGAUCCCUGGCGAUUCACCUGGAAAUGGGGUCAGAAAGCUCAUGUCGCACUGCACCUGGGAAUUGGAGUACAGUUCCUCAAUGUAAAGAAGAUGCAUCACAAAAUUGAUAUUAUUGAGUAUUGACUUAGAUUUGACGUGUUCUAUUUGAUGAAACAUAUGAGAAAGUAUAUUGUGUCCAAGAAUCAACAGGAAAACAGUAAGAGAAACAUCUAAUACAAUCUGCAACUAGGUAGUACUCCUACAAACCAUGCUGGCUGAGUAAUAGCUAAUCUGCAACUACAUAGUACUCCUACAAACGCAAGCAACCGUCUCACCUUCACUGACAACUGCGGAGUCUGCUUGAAGUUGGAACUGCGGUUCAAGUCUCAGAAGCAACAUAGUUGGACUGAAGCUCUACGAAUUUUAGAACUUAUGAAAAAAUGUGCAGGCGGAGCACAUAUAUCAGUAAUAGUUAUAUCGAGAGGGUUUACUUCAACCCCUACAUUUUUCAAUCAGUAAUACUUAUAUCAGUACCUCGUUAUUCAUCAAUACUAGUACGACUCGACAAGAAGUGCAAAAUUGUAGCAGCACACAGAUUGAACUUACACAAUUUUUCUUUUGAAACAUAUUUUAGGUGAUAUAUCUAGUUUUGAAACAUGAACUGAUGAUAUUUUUUUGCACGCACUAUGCUAUCUAAAAAUUGGACGAACAGAAACUAGAAAUUGGACUGAAGUAAACCUAGAAAAUUGAGCAACAGUGCUUGCUAAAUCAUGGGAGCUCCUAGGCAUUUGAUCAAAUACAACCAACGCCUAGCACUGUCAGCACCACAUCUGCAGCUGCAGUAACGCCACCAACUGAACGGGCUCUGGUGGUGUUGUUGAACGGCCUAGGUGGCCAGGUUUGAACGAAACCUGCAAGAUGAACCCAAGGGGAGCUCCUUCACCUGCAAGAUGAACAGAAAAUGCACACUAAGGCGACCUGAAGAACCACCAGAUGUUGAACUGAAUAUACGCAAGAUAAGGAGGUGAACGUCAAGGGGGAGGUGGGGAAAAGCUAGCACCUCCCGAGCUGCGGCGUAGAACGGCUUAGCGCUAUGUUGUAGAACCAUCAACGUUGAACCUGUUGAGUUCUGAUUUUUGAACCUUUGCAGUAGUAAUACAUGUACUGGGCGGUACAUGCUUCUGUUGUUGAGCAGCUGACAUACAGAAACAAAAACACUCAUGGGUGGACACACAAAAUCAUGAUAAAAAUAGUGGCAGCAAGAAGCAAUCAGAAGUGAAUAUGCAGUAGUACUAUAAUGGAAUAUUAGUCAGGAUUGAAGUUCAGAUAACUAUGGCACACACAUCAUACAAUAAUUUUGAACUUACAUAAUCCUGAAACAGGAACUUCAUUUUUUUGAAUUAGCAAUUCUGAAUGUACUAGCGAUCUAAUUGAAUUUUUUAGACCAUAGUAAUUGAACUUCAAGCACAUUUCAUUAUAAAACAUUUAUUUUUUCUAUUUGCACAAUAAUUAUGUCCUUGUCAGUACGACUCAUCAGAAUUGUAGACGACAUCCUUGUCAGUACGACUCAUCAGUACAAGGGCUCUUUUUUCCAAAAAAAAUGUGUGAGAAUAGAAGCAUUUUUCCUAUAUGGAUGUUACUUUUAAUGUAAACCUUUCUUACCAUGGCAAAUAAUGUAACAAUAGGCAAUGAGAGAUACCUUCACAGGUGAACAUACAGUUGCAAGAUCACGAGUAACAUGAAGUAAAUUUUUCACGAAAAUUUUGUGAACAAAAUACAUUAUUAAACUUAGUGCAGAAACAAAAAUUUAAGAUAAUGGCGCCGGCCACGCGACUAGAGAUGUCGCGUGCGCCUGGAUAUUAAGCUAAUGGCCCAUCAUUACACUCAUUUGUAUGUAAAGCACUCGUUCGACACGAGCUCCUUUGAGGAAGCUUGCAUGGUCUAGAGAAAACAAGUUUUUUGUAUGUAAAGCACUGUACAGACAUUUUGUGCAUAAUAUAUACUGCAUGAGCUGAUCACAUACUCCAUAUACUACUAGAACGGAGUAGCUAGUACUACAGUAAUAAUAAAUAUACAAGAAAUGAAUGGUUUUACUUCUCCCUAAUACCGAAACACACAUUUGAAUCUAAUCCUACAAGCCUGCAAUAUGAACCGAAAAAGCCAACAAGAUGAGCUGAAAAAACCUACAAACCUGUUGAUUUGUUUUUGUAAGUACAUGUGCUAAACUGAUAUAGUUUUAGUCAAUGACCUGUUGUAAAAUAAGUAAUAGUACUACUACUGGCUUUUACAUAUUUCACUAAACAAAUCAAACAAAGUUAAGAACAGGCAGACGACUGCAUAAGUACUAGAACUGCUAUUGUUUUUGUAUAUGGUCUAGAAUAAUCAAACCUUUUGUCAUAUCUACUUCAAACCUGUUGUAACAACCACUUCCGAUAUAGAAGGUCGCCUUUCCAUAUGCGGGCGCUAGGAGCGGUGAAAACCCUAGCCGAGGGUGAGGGGAGAGGGAUGGUGCGCUCUGGCGAUUGCCCUGGCGACUCGCCUACGGCCGUGGCUCCGCCCGCGGUGGCCGGCGCGCUUAGCCCCGCCGUCCCUGAGCCGUGCCCGCCCCCUCCACCGUCGCCGGAGACGCUCCCCUCACCCUCGGUCGCUGUGCUCCUGGCCGCCCCGCCGAGGAUUCGGUGGACCAACCUCGCCGAAGACAACGCCGAUUCCCCCCUCGUCUGCCCCUCUGAUGCUCGUUCGGCAUGGCCCUCCCCAUCCUCUCUGCGAGCCGCGCCACCCUGCGUGGCUGGCAGCUUAGCCUCCCAUGUGCGAGGCUCGGCUGUUAGCUCGCGGCGGCCGCUGCGCUCUACCCUGGCGCCUGGGCCGCAAGACACUGUCUUGCGGGGCCGCGGUGCUCGACGACGUAGGCUGCGUGCCUGGGGCGUGGCUGGCCGCUCGGAGAUGGGCUUGGCCAGUGCGUCUUGGCGCCGGUCGGUGGCGGGAUCUCCCCUCUCGCCGGCGCCGCGCCCGCGGUCAGCUUGCCGUGCGAAGUUUCUUGCCGGCCCGCUCGUGCACUCCUCCCCCUUUCGCCCCUUCAUCGCCAACUUUGGUUCGUGAACACUCGCUCUCCGUCCGUCUCAGCCCCCUAGCCGGACCUGGCUGGCCUCCCCCGACGUCCUCGCGCCGGCGGCGGCGGCGAUGGUCGCCUGUGGAGGGGAAACCCUGUCGGCAACCACCCCGCGCCCCUCCCCUGGGCCCUGUCGCGCGUGGGCGUGGCCUGCUGGGCCCGUGCCCGGCCCAGCGGCCCGUUGCCCUAGCUGGGCCUCCCGCCUGCAGCUUGGGCUGGCCUGGCCAUGUUGGGCUGCUGUGGUGCCCUAGGCCCGUUAUGGCGGCCUCUGGAAUCUGGCCCCCUUAUGGGUUUCCGCUUGCAUCCGCUCCCCUCUCCGCUGCCACAUCUGUUUCCCCUCUCGCCUCCCCGCAUGCUCCCUCCGCUGCUCCAUCCCCGCCGCCCGCGCCGUCCUCUUGCACCCCGACCUCCCCCCCUCCCCCCUCCCCCUGACCCGUCCGGCCAUGACCCGGGAAUGGGAUGAUGGGGAGGCUCGCCGGAAACAUCGUUAUGAGGACCAACCCCGCCCGUCCCCGGACGCGGUCCGCCGGGAGGAGGAGCUCCGGCGGGAGCUCCGUGCUCUUCGGGAUGGCCACCGUGAUGACCGCCGUUCCCCUGGCCGCUCGGACCGGCACGGCUGCUCCCGCUCUCCUCCCGGCGCCGGGGCCGAUUGGCGCGGGCGACGUCGUUCGCCCUCCCCACGCCGUGGCCGCUCCCCCUCGCCUUCGCGCCAUCUUCGCCCUCCGUCCCCCCGCCCACAAGCCCAGCAGCCUCCCGCGGCGGCCCGGAAAUAUGUUCCCCCGCAUGCCUCCUCCGCGGCCGGGUUGGGUGCGGGUGCCGCUCCCGCCCGUGGCCGCCAAGGUCAAGCGAAGAAGAAGAAGCGUCGUGGGCAGGGUCACGGCAUCUUGCCCACUCCCGCUCCGCUAGGCCCGGGCUCCUUGUCCGCUCCAGGUCCGGUGUCCGGUCUCCCUCGGGGUGUCGGAUCACUCCCAAGUCUCCUGCGUCAACCCUCAGUGCUGCUAUAUCUGCAAGGACCCAGGCCACCCCGCCCUUCUGUGCCCGGAUCGCCCCGUACCGGCCGAGCUCAUGAUGUACGGUCAUGGUAUCGAGGGGUUGGGCUUCUUCCACCUCGAGGUGCCGGACAUCCCUCCCCCACCCCGUCUCUCCAGGCGGUCGUCACGUUGGUGGAUGGAGUGGCCUCCCCAGAGAUGAUCGAGGAGGAGCUCAACCACCUGUACCGGCGCCAGUGGGACUGGGUGGUCACUCCCACCGCCGGCAACAUCUUCACUGUGAUCUUCCCCGACGCCAUCAGCUACGGCUACGCCACCCGCAGCGGCCAGAUCACCCUCGCCCUCCACCAGCUCGUCGUCGACAUCACUGAGCCGAUCCUGGACCCGAAGGUGGUGGCCGUCCUGGACACGGCCUGGAUAUUGGUGGGAGGCCUCCCAGACAUUGCUCGGUCUGAGGUGGUCAUUCGCCAGAUGUCCCGGAUCCUGGGCAAGGUGGUGGUGGUGGACGAGCUCUCCCUUCGCAAAGAGGAGGAGGUCCGCGUUAAGGUCAAAUCUCUGGACUCCUCCAAGCUUCGGGCCACCACCCGGGUGUUCUUCAACGGCCAGGGCUUUGACCUCCGGAUCGCCCCUGAGCCUCCCAACCACGUCGGGCGUCCUCGCUUCUCCGAUGACGGGCCCCCCGGUGGCAACCCUGGGGUCGACGGCGACUACCAUGGCCGCCACCACCCACGCUCUCACCGCUCCCACCGAUCUGAUGAUGAUGCGGGCUCCGGCGACUCGUGCUCCCGCUCUCUGUCACCGUCGCCUCCUCCCCCCGUUGUUGGACCCCAGGGCCGUCAGGCUUUGCUCGGCCCCCCUCCUAGCUCUCCGCUUCCCCGGGACGCCUCCCUUGUGCCGGGCAGCGAGACCAUGGAUGGGAGCGACACGUCGAGCGUCGGCCUGGUGGUCCUCCCGGCGUCCUCUCCUCGCUCCCAGCAGUCGUCGGCUGCUCCAUGCCGGCUUUGGAGGGGUCGCCGCCGUCUCCCUUGGGCCCCUUGGCCCCCUCUGAGGUCGUCCCGUCCCCGACCAGGGUGGAUGGCACAGUGACCUCCCCACCGGUCCCGGUUGCCAUCGUUCCUCUGGGUCCCUCCGCCCCGGCCGGGUUGGCUCCGCUGGCGACGCCCGUCAUCUGGCCCGCCUCGCCGGCGAUGCUCGCCCUGGGCCUUAGCCUCGUGCUCGCCCCCGCCGCCAUCCCCCCGGCUCUGUCUCCGACCUGGCGCUCUACCCCUCGUCCCCGACUGCUCCGCUGCCCUCUUCCUCGCUCCUCGACUGCAUCGGGCUGGUGCUCCGGCCUGCCCCCGCUGCGGCCCCUGAGGUGGAGUGAGAGACGCGGGUGACCACCCCGAUGGCUACUCAGCCUCCCCCUCCGCGGACCGCGGCCUACUCCCGUCGUGGCCGGUCUGCCUCCUCCCCGGUGACGGCUUCCCGCCGGAGCGCCUGGCUCGACGCUGCGCGUCCCGAAGGCAGUCCGGCUCUGCCCAUUCCCGCCCGGGCGAAGCUCCGGGCUACAGCUCGGAACCUGGAGCCAGGUACCCCCCCUGUCCCCCCUUCUACUGCUACUUGCUCGUUUUCUGCUCUCGAGUCGGUGCCUCUUGGUCACCUCGCAAAGGUGGUGACUGAUUCCGCGAUAAUCUUCAGGGGGAGGCUGCUCCCCCCUUAGUCCAAAUCGAGGCCAUCAAGGCCCGUGAGAUCCUCGACGGUAGGCUAGCGGAGGCCCGCGCGGCUCUGCUCUCGCCUGCUAACCCCUCCCCUUUUGUGGUAGUCGCCUCCCCAGCACCACCUAGACGGCCCAGCGGCCUCCUCCACCUCGCCGCGGCCGAGCAUCGUGGUCGUACGCGGUCCCGCACCGCCGCCCUCCGCGCCCAAAGCACAUCCCGUGUCCUGGGGUCAAGAAGCCCCCCAAUGGCGCCUUAAUGCGGGCCCUUUUCUGGAACAUCCGCGGUUUCGGCCAUGAUGUCCGACGCCGCCAACUCGUGGAAUACAUGCGUGAUGAACACAUUGACAUUGUCGCCAUCCAAGAAACCAUGCGUACAAAAUUUUCUCUCCCGGAGCUUGACCGUCUGAGCUCUCACCUCUUUGCUUGGCAUUGGCUCCCUUCUAGUGGGAGCAUAGGCCACUCGGGUGACAUCCUGUUAGGCGUCAAGGAUGCCACCUUCGAGGUGGGGAGCAUGGAUCGGAGGCAAUUCUUUGUGAGCAUGGACUCUUCGAACGGUCGCUCAACUUCAAGUGGGAGAUCAUCAUUGUCUACGGCCCGGCCGACCAUAGUAGGUCUGCGUCCUUCCUCGAGGAGAUCCACCGGAAGAUUUCGGCGGCCUCUCUCCCAGUGGUCCUUGGAGGCGAUUUCAACCUCCUCCGCUUCGUGGAGGACAAGAGCAACGCGAACGUUAACUUUGCACGAAUGCAAAUGUUUAAUGAUUGCAUUGCUGACCUUGGCCUCCGCGAGAUUGAUAGGAUUGGUGUCAGGUUUACCUAGACCAAUCGCCAGGCCUCCCCGACCAAGUCCGUUCUGGACAGGGUCCUAGUUUUCCCUGGAUUGGGACCUCCGUUGCCCUCUAGCCUCCCUUCGUGCCAUCACCGGGAUUGGAUCCGACCACGUCCCCUCCUCCUCUCCUCCGCCGACGAGCGACCGCCGAUUCCUCCUAGAUUCAGCUUUGAGACAUUCUGGCUAUCCCAAACCGGUUUUGUGGAGGCUGCUGGCGCCCGCUGGGUGGAGGCCCGUGGCCACCCCCACCCCCGCCCUCCUUCGGCUAUUGACUCUUGGCAUUUCUGCACCAAGCGUGGCCGGCAGUUCAUGAAGGGUUGGGGUGCUAACUUGGGGCAUGACCUCCGCGAGCGUAAGAAGGCCUUGUUGGCCGCCAUCCAAGCCUUGGACUUGCGGGCUAACUCAAUCGGUCUCUCCCGGGACGAGUGGCUCUCUCGCUACGAUUUAGAAGACCAGCUUUCCGUCAUCUACACUGAUGAGGAGGCGUAUUGGCGCCUCCGCGGGGCCCAGAAAUGGGUCUUGAAGGGCGACGCAAACAUGGCCUACUUUCAGGCCAUCGCGAACGGCCGACGUAGACGCAACACCAUCCCCCUCCUCUGGGAUGGUGCCUCCCUAUUGCAAGAUCCCCGCGACAUUUGUAGCCAUGUCGACGAUUUCUACAGGUCCCUGUUCUCUGCCGCUCCUAGGAGCGGCCUCUCCAUGGCGACUGAUUGCUGGACCGAUGCCCAGCUGGUUUCUGAUGAGGAAAACGCGGCCCUCACGGCCCUGUUCUCCGAGGGCGAGGUCUGGACCGCGAUUCGAGGUAUGAAUCCCACCUCCGCUCCGGGCCCCGACGGCCUUCCGGUUAAAUUCUUCCAGGCCUUCUGGAACGUGAUUAAACCUGAGGUCAUGGCCAUCUUUGAUGAGUUCUAUGUUGGAUCCAUCGACCUUGGGCGCCUCAACUAUGGGAUUAUCUAGCUCAUCCCGAAGGUCCCGGGUGCCUCCGACAUCCGCCAGUUUCAUCCAAUCACGGUCAUCAACGUGAUCUUCCGGAUUCUGGCUAAAGGGUACGCCAAUAGGGUGACCCUCCUCACUGACCAUGUUACCCACCCCAACCAGUCCGCCUUCAUUCAGGGGCGGUACAUCCUGGAUGGGGUGCUUGUUCUUCAUGAAGUCCUCCAGCCUCCUCUUGUUUCUUAUGAACUUCUACAGCCUUCACGAGACUCUGCACCAUGAGAUCGCCAAAAUCCAGUCCCGCUUCUAUUGGGCUGGCGACAACAAUAAGCAGAAAUAUCAUAUGGUCAGCUGGCCUGACAUCUGCAAGCCCAGGGAACAAGGCGGCCUCGGUAUCCCGCUGGCUCUGGCGCAUCUCGCACGGCCAGGGUGGUCUCUGGCUCGAUAUCAUCUGGAACAAGUACCUGCAUGGACAACCCUUUGCCUUUUGUCAGAGAACUGGCGGCUCGCAGUUCUGGCAGUCGAUCGUCCAGCUUCUCCCGGCCCUUCGCAUCGGGACUUCCAUCUUGGUGGGGUCCGGCACGGAGACUUUGUUUUGGUUUGACCGGUGGGCCGGAGACUCCCCCUUCGCUGCGCGCUUCCCCGUCCUCUUCUCCAUAGUGGUAGACCCCUUGAUCUCAGUUGAGAGGGCCCUUAUUGACUUAGGGCGCCUUGCUUUCCGGAGGCCCUUUGGUCCCCCGGAAUACGCCGCUUGGCGUGAGUUACUAGAUUGCGUGGCUCUCCACGAGCCUGUGGGGGACGGUGGCCCGAACCAGGUGAGAUGGCGGCUCGAGCCUUCGGGCCAAUUCUCCACUAAGUCUCUCAACCAUGCCAUCGCCCCCUCCUUCGCCCCUCCCCCCCUUGCGACGGUGUGGUCCAUCCGCUUGCCUCUGAAAAUCCGGAUCUUCAUGUGGCAGUGGAUUCACGGGCGGCUUCCGUCGGGCGUUGAGGUCCGCAAGCGUAAUGGCCCGGGCUCUGGCCUUUGCCCACUUUGCGCCACCCCCGAAGACUCGAACCACAUCUUCUUUUCCUGUGUGUCUGUGCAAUUCGUGUGGAGAUGCUUCCGCGAGGUGGUGGGUGGAAAUUGGUGCCACACCAACUUCCCCGACCUGUAUACGGAGCUCCAGUCCUCCCCCUUGGCAUCUCGCCACAUUAGGUGGCUUGAGAUUGGGGUCAUCGCUUGGACCCUCUGGACGAUCCGUAAUAAGCUUGUGAUCCAGAGUGCUCCUCUUCGAUGGGCUACUGACGCUAUCUUCAAACUGUCUGGUUUCUUGCAGCUUUGGCGGCCGCUUAGCCGCCCUGAUGACCGUGACGCCAUCUCUGCCUUCAUCGCCGACCUUCACUCGAUGGUCAUCCGUCUGUCUCCUCCGCCCCCGCCGCCACCGUCGGAACCCGACUAGAUGCUUGUUGGGCCCUCCGGCUCUUUUCUUUUAGUUGUUUUUGGGCUUGUUGAGUUGUGCCCUCAGCAGAACCUUCGUACUUGUGUGUGAGACUUGGGUGCGUGUGUUUGAACUAGUCCAUGCAUGUGUGCUCUGUGGCGGUUUGCUUUAUUUAUAAAGCGGGGUGAAAGCCUUUUUCGGUAACAACCGCUUCCACUCUGUGAGAGCUUGUAGUACCCAAACAAUCACUUUGGAAAAAAUAAGCUUCCCAACCUAAAUUUUUACUGAAAGAAAAAGGCACCAUAACCUCAAUUGUAAGAUAUUUCAAAAGCCUUACAACAAUGAAGAAACCUGAAACCAGAGGUGGCAUUUAAUUGUACGAGUUGUGGUCAACUAACUGCGGAUGCAUCAGACAUAUGGCGACUAAACUACACACGUUGAAGCUAACUCGGCCACGGUGGCAAGACAAUUCAGAAGUAUGCGCACAUCGUUCAUUGAAUAUAGGGUAUGCAAAUGGGAUAGCAGAGAGCUAUAGUAAUGAUAAUUAACCUAGCUAGUAUAUGUUCAAACAAGUUGAAGUUUCUUUUAGUUGGUAACAACUUCAGUUCAGGUGUGUCCCACAGAAAAAUCCACAAUAUUUACAGAACAUCUAACAAAGAUCAUUCAAUACUGCCGCCUCUUGCUACUUUUUUCUGAGAGAAAUAUCUGAACCAAGACUAGUUCAACUAGCACAAGAAAACAAACUAGUUGUUGCAUCUACAAAAAUCUGAAAUGACCAUCUAAUAACUAAGUGACUUACAACUAGCACAUUUAAAACUGCUGCCUCCUGCUACUUUUUUCUUAGAGAAAAAUCUGUACUGAACAUCUAACAAAUAGCACACUUUGCAUCUUGCCUUUGUCUGUCGCAUCUGGUUGCAAAGAAAUAACAAAUUACGAGUACAAAGAAAUAACAUCCUCUUUUUUAUCGACUUUGAACUUCUAUAUUUUUUUCUCUGAGCUUACCUCUCUCGAGAACAGAACUGAUUAGUGUUACAAGUACACGAUACUUCACCAUACAGACUACACCAAUACUGAAAACUGAAGAAUAACUGAAGCACGAGAGAGAGACGAGCCUAAGUUCAUAGUACAACAAACAUAAGCUGCAAGCUCCAUGUUCCAGCUUGUAGAUAAUUUAUUUUAAUCAGAUUCCUCAGUCCAACAUUAAAGUAACACACAGGACCAAUCAUCACACAAAUCAUAAUACCAAUCCCUGCUGUCUUUUGUUGACUGAAGUACAGAUGUGCACGCAUACCUUGACAGUAGUCGGAGACGAGCAUGACAAGGUCCCGGCCACCACCCCGCUUCCGCCGCUGACGGCCAGCAAUGACGCCGCGGCGAGGAGGGAGUCCCAGUCUCCUAGCUCACGGACGAACGGGUUGGGCACCGGCGCUGGGAUCUCGGGGGUGGAAGGUGGACGAAUCUUAGGGAGGAAGGCGGCCGGAGCGUGGGGAGGAAGGAGACCGGAGGCGGGGGAGGGAGGAGGCCAGGGCGCGGCCAGGAAGGCGGCCGGAGCGCGGGGAGGAAGGCUACCGGAGGCGGGGGAGGAAGGAGGCCGGAGCACGGGGAGGAUGGCGGCCGGAGCGCGGUGCUGGGAGGAGGUCGUCACGCGAAGAGGAAGUUGACCGGAGGGCAGGGGAGGGAGGAGGCCACCGUGCAGGGUUUGGCGGCUGCCACCGAGGCGGCGGGGUUCAUGGGGAGUGACCGAGUGAGGCUCACGGCCUGUAACUUUCUGUUCUGUUUUUG
rnacentral:lncRNA from 1 species